rnacentral:tRNA from 1 species
GCGCCCGUGGCUCAGUUGGAUAGAGCGCAAGCCUCCGGAGCUUGAGAUCCCGCGUUCGAAUCGCGGCGGGCGCGCCA